rnacentral:lncRNA from 1 species
AUUGCACUGCAUGGUAUCUGCACUCAGCAGUUUACACCUGCUAGGGUGUUCAAAGGUCAGUGCUAUAGAAAUUCAGUAUCUGGCAUCGUUGGUUUUCUUGGCUUUGUGCUUGUUAAACCUGGUAUUUCUACUGAUACAGUAUUUGUGUAGGUUUCUCAGAGUGUUCAGUUUGAUAUACUCUAAAAUAGUAAGCAAUGCUUUUUUUUCCAGGGUGUCAAAUUGAGAACCAGGUAGAUCCCCACCACCUACAGUAAAAAGGACCCUAAAGUAAAUUGGUUGAAGAAAUUAGAUCCCAAAGAUUCUUGGUGAAUUUUGAAGUCUUCAUCAGUAUAUCCAUAUUAAAACGAGAUGACAGAAGCCAAAGUAAUUAUGGGCUGACAGGACAACUGGAUCAGUUUCAUUAAAAAGGGCAAACUUGAAGAUAAAUCUUUUGACUCCAGCUCUUUAGAGGAUCUAAAGUGACCUUGAUGGACAGUGGAAGAAAUCACAACAUGGAAUUCCUCGAAUAACAAUUUAUUGACUUUAAAUAAUUUUGUCUAAUGCUACAUAUACACAAUUAAAAAACCUUUACACUAUUUCUAGAAAGUCAGCAUGUAUUUUUGGCUCGAAGUUUCUCUAGUGUUUUCUGUGGAAGGAAUAAAAAUUUGAGUUUCAGU